UCCGGAAAGGGAGCGGUUGGGGAGCCGGUAGUUGCACUCCGGGGGGAGCAGGGACCUUGGCCCGGAAGGGACCGAAGAGGGUGCAGGAGGGUCCCAAUUAGCAAACAUCCUUGAUACUCACCGACGAGAAAACCGGGUCACACAGCUGAUGGGACGUGCUCUUGGUGACAUGGCGGUUAAGGGCAGUGCUUGAACCCCAGCUUCCGUUCUGGAUGUCUGAAGUCCAAACAGUGGGUCUUCUGGAGCUCAGGUCCACGUGUUGGCAGAACUGCAUUCCUUCUAGAGGCUCUCAGGGUGAAUCUGUCCCCUUGCUUUUUCCAUCUACUACAGACCAGCUGAAUUGCUUGGCUCAUGGCACACCUUCCAUCUUCAAAGCCAAUAGCAUGGCAUCUUCUGAUCUAAUACUAGUGAAUAUUAAAAUAGAAAAAUCUUAAUUA